GCGGACGUAGUGUACGGCGCACCACUGCAUCAAAUGAUCAUGAGCCGCUUGUGCGAACAGUUGAAGCAGCUGAUCGGGGUUCGACUCCCCGCGUCCGCC